ensembl:lncRNA
UAGUCCAUAUUUGACCCAAAGUUAGGUUGAAACCCAGAGUGUAAACUCACACCCAUUUUUUUUUUUUUUUCUUCAGGACGUUUGCACGAUGACUGUCACUGUCAUUUUAAUUUCACAUUAGUAUGAUUAAAUCACUUAUUAGCUUUUUAUUAAGCUCACAAACCCCCUGCAGUUCCUUCACGAACCCCAAUUUGGGAAACCUUGAUGUAAUGUAAUGUUUAAUGCACUUCAUUAUAUUAAAAACAAGGAAUGCAAUACAUUUUCUUUCUCUUUUUAUAUUUGUAUCCAUAUGGUACACAAUUAUCCUAUUAAAGGUAUCAAAAGUAAUCUAAAAGUAGUCUGAUUAUAUUUCCUUAAAUGUGUAAUGCAAUGCAUUACGUUACUGACUACAACCUGCUGUACACAAGUCAGUGCAACGGGGCGUAACCUGCUGACUUUUCUUUCAAACGCUACCUGUGUCUGUACAAAGCAGCAUCGCAAAUGUGGUUACUGUUCAGAUUUCAUGAUCCACCUCACUAAUAAUAAACCAAAGUAGGAUGCAUAUCCCUUCCAGCCUUGAGCCGCUUACCUCGAACUUUAUUCGCACCCUGUUCUCACUUCAUAGAGCAGAAGAAAUUGAAAGGAUUGAUACAACAUUGUUAGGUUAUAUUGUAAGAUGUGUAAACAUUUAAAACUAUAUCAGCAUCAUUAUAUGAUGUAUUUAUAUUGCACCAUUAACCCAUAAAUUCACACUGAGGAAAUGUUUUGUCAGGUAACUUAAAGUGGUGACGUGUAAAUUAUUUUUAGGAAUAUUAAGUAGCAUUCUCAAUUUGUUCAUUCCUUUUUUUUUUUUUAAUAGUUAACCUUUUAUGCAAUUAAUCAUGGUCUGUGACAGGAAUUCAAACAAUCAGAGCAUCCCUUAAUUUAAUUUAAAAGCACGGCGCUCAUGGCGUGAGAUGCUGAAAAACAGUGACACGCAGCGGACUAAGACGUGUGUCUGUGAUUACAUGGAAUAAUGAGUGAUAUGUAUACAGAAAUAAAACAAACACUAUUUUUACUUCUAAAAACACUUAUACGUAUAUUAAUAUUGACUACUUUGACAGUGUCAUUUUGUGGCAUUUCUGGGCAAAUACUGAAAUAUGUGAUUAACUGUAAAUAAUAACAUGUAUUUAAUUCAAUGAAAAUGUAUAUUAUUCAAAUUAGAUUAAAUGAUUGACAGUCCUAUAUUUAUUAUGACAUAAUUAAAUUCACUUCAUUAAAGUAUGCCAACCAUUUUUAAGGGUCAGAUUAGGUAGAAAUAAACUUUCAUUAUAGUGUUUUUUGAUGUUGUUGUUGUUUUUGUUUUGUUUUUGUUUUUUUUUUACAGUCCAACAAGCAGUGCUGGGUAGAUUACUUAUUAAUUGUAGUCUGAUUCCAAAGUACAUGACAAAAAGGUUACUUUUGAUGAACUCGUUUAUCACAGUUAUUUAAAUAUGAUAUACUUGUACCAUAUUGAUAUAAAAAGUAAAAGAAAUCAUAUAGAAUUCCUUGCCAUUAACAAAAUGAAGUGCGUUAAACUUUACAUUACGUCAAGGUUUCCCAAACGAGUUUGUAAAGGAACUGCAGGGGGGUUGUUAAUUAAUUAAAUCUUUAAAAAUGUCAAAUUAAAAUAAAUAAUUUUAAAAUAAUAAAACACUUACCAAAAACGAUUAAAUAUUUAAUUUGUUUGCCUGCAUGUCAUGUGAAUGACACGUUUCUUUAUUAUAAAUAUAUUGUCUUAAAAACUUAAAGUAAAUAUAUUUGGUGAAAGAAAAAAAAAACAUGUAUUAAUGUAUUCUAUUUAUGUUGUCUUACUUGGAAAUCUGAUUACGUAAUAAGUGCCAAUCACAAUAUCAAGCAUAAGUAACAGUAAAUAGUAAGAAGUAAAUAGUGAGCUAUGUGUCAGGAUUGUUGGUUAGUUGGCUAAAAUUAGACAGAUUUAUGGAUAUCCAGUUUAAGUUCAGAGGCUCAUGAGGAUAAUAAUGACAAAUAUAACAAUACCACACUGGAUUUUUAUUUAUUUUGUGCUUAUAAAGAAAACACACAUACACACACACACACGCACACACACACGUGGGACAGGACAAUGAGGAGAAACACACCUGACUGCGUGAAUCAAACACAACGUGCUAAAAUAAGGACAAAGAUAAAUAUGUUGAAAUCAGGUACGAACAGACGUCAGUUUAUCUUUUGUGAACAGCCACCCAAUGGCAGAAAUUUGUAACAUCAGAUGUGUUGCUCUUGCAUAAUGGCCCAUGACUGAAUUGUCUCUGGAGCAUCGGGAGACACCGUCAGCACCUCCAGAGACUCCUGAAAAGAUAUUUGCAGCUGAAAUUUCAACUGCACACCUAUAUAUCCAGCCGUGCUGAAUCCAGGCCAAGGACAUGUGAGACGGCGUCGCUGCGGGUGGAUUAUAGGGUGGAGUGUUGUGUAAUAGAUCAUUCGAGCUCAUAUUCAUGGCUGCACUAUUAUUAUUAUUAUUAUUAUUAUAAUUACUUCAAAGGUUGCUCUUAAAAAUGAGGCUUUCCUUUGAUCUUUGUCAGAUUCAUGUGCAUGGAAAUAAACUGACCUGCCCUCUUAUGAUUGAUCAAUUUCAUCACUUUAUUACAAUUUAGUGGACAUAACUUGUAAGAAAGGCUUCCACCCAUUAAAAUAAUUUUCAUAUGGUUAAACACUGGAUCUCAUAAUAAACAGUGAAAGGUUACUGGGAAGUGACCUGCAUACUGACUGACAUCUUAGCUCAUGGGUGUUUCUGUGAAUGGCUUUCAAUGGAGAAAUGUUGUAUUGACCUGCAGUGUCUAAUUAUGUGUAUAAUAUUUUGGUGAGCACAUGCUCAAACAAUUAGUGUAGCUCUUCUUUUAGCUUAAAAACAUGGCGCUCAUGGCGUGAGAUGCUAAAAAACAGUGAGACGUCUACAUGCUUACAUGGACAAACAAACGAUAUGUUUGUUUUCAAGCCUAUGUAAAUAUCAUACUGACUUCUAAAGCCAUUUAAGAUUAUUUUAUUUUUAUUAUCUACCAUGAUUGCCAUUUCUUCAUUUAGUGGCAUUUCUGAGUACAUAUAUGUCAUGUGAUUAGCCAUGUGUAACUAAUUGGCAAAUCAUAUAUAAUUUAAUUCAAUAAUAAUUUUUACAAUGAAAAUUUGAUAUUUCUAUAUUUAUUAUGAUUGAAAUAACUUCAUUAAAGCAUGCCAACAACAUUUUUAAGGGUUAAAAAAAUAACUCUUCAUGUGUAUACCAGACUGACUCAUUUCAAACACAAGCACUAAAAUAAUAAAAUAAUAGAAUAUGAUUUUUGACUAAAUUGUAGAACUGGAAUGAAUUCUUUGACCUCAGCAGGUUAUCUGUGGUUUGUGAGUACAUUAGGUGUGCAAUCACUCCAAAGAACUUGGCAGAAAAGUUGGAUCUCAGAUGUAGGCAGCUGGCUGGCAGCUUUUUUGUGACAAAUUGCUGAUAGUUGAAGUUAUUUCUCUAGCGCGCCUGUCAGGACAGAGAGGGGGUUCUACUGCCAAGCUGUCACUAACAGUAAAUGAUAAACCAUGACUGUAGAUGAGCUGCAAAUGUUGAAAUGAUCUGAUGUCCUCAUGAGAAACAGUUACUGUCCAAAUAGCCUUCUUGCCUUAAACUAUUAAUUGUGGAAAACUUAUAAAGGCAUAUGUGGGUGUUUGACAUGUUUAUUCUGGUGAGUAUUUGUGCAGUACAUGCUGCAACAGUAUGCAGUCUAUCCUGCUGCUUAGUUUAAGUUUGCAACAUUAACAUGUCAUUGAGCUGAUUGAUGACAUUAGUGUCUUGUGUAGAGCUGCUUUACAGCUAUAACUGAAUUUAAUUCACAACUGAUACAUUUAUAGCAUUUAACAUUGUUAUUUAAUUUUUGACACAAUCUGUAUUGUAUAAAGCGCUAUAGAAAUAAAUCAGUAAUUCAUUCAUUUAGAAAAGUAAUCCAGCUUCAAAAGCAUGAUUUAAAUGCAGAUAAUUUAUUGUGGUAAAAGACAUUAUGGCACACAUGCUGUUUAUUUUAUUAUCAUUAUUUGUAUUUUAUUUAUUUAUUUAUUUGUUUGUUUAUUUAUUUAUUUUUGCAUUUUCUGUUUUUAUUUACAUUUUAGUUUUGUAAUUUUUAUUAGGUAAUUUGGACAACUUUAAAGGCAAUUUUCUCAAUAUUUAGAAUAUUUUUUUUUUUUUUUUUUUUUUUUUGCUCCCUCAGAUUCCAGAUUUUCAAAUAGUUGUAUCUCAGACAAAUAUUAUCCUCCUAACAAACCACACAUCAAUGGAAAUAUUAUUUUUUAUUCAAUUGUAAAGGUUUUUAUUAUUAUUAUCAUUAUUUUAUAUUUUUUAGUUCUUCAACUUAAACCGGAAACACUUUAGGGAACACACUCACUAUUAACUAGUUGCUUAUUUGCAAGCAUAUUCCUAGCAUAUUGGCUGUUUAUUAGUACUUAUAAUGCACAUAUUAAUGCAUGGCCACAUUCUACAUCUGUUAACCCUAGACAUAACUACUACAACACUGUACUUACUAUCAAUAAGCAGCGAAGCAGCAAAUUAGGAGUUUACUGAGGGAAAACUCUUACUUAGUUGUGAAAGUGUGUUCCCUAUUCCAAAGUGCUGCCCUUAAACUAAAUGAAAAUUAGAAAUACUGCUUGAAAAUAAAAUAAUCUUACUUUUUAUUAUUUUUUUAUAUGAAUUUAAUUGUCAGUUAAUGUUUAUAUUUCUUCAAGUAAUGACUGUUUUUGAAACACUGUCACUGCAGACCUCACAGCUGGAACAGUCCUAACAUCUUAAUGAUUGUGUUUGCUCUUUUCUCCCUCACCUGAGGAGCUGCAUGAAAACACCGCCUGCUCCUGCUCUGGCCGCGGCUGUUUUGACAUGUGGGCUGUUAUUGUAACAUUUGUUGC